GUCUACAGCCAUGCCACUCUGAGCAAGCAUGAUCCCCUCUGAUCUUGGAAGCUAAGCAGGGUCGGGCCUGGUUAGUACUUGGGCAGGAGACCACUUAGGAAGACCAAGUGCUGUAGAUG
rnacentral:rRNA from 1 species